AAGGUUACUGGUGAAGUUUUCUAUAAAAUAAACAAUUUUGGGUUCUUUCAUAUAAAUAAUUAUAUGUUUUAUGUGGUAAAAAAUAUCUUUCGAAAGAGGUAGGGUUUUAAGUGUUAUUUUUCAGUAUAGGAUAUUAUACAUUGCACUUAAAUUAUGUUAAUCUUUAACAGUUAAACAACUACACAAAAGCGAUCAUCGCAAUAAUAAGCAAAACACGAAGAUUCUACUUAAUAUAUUUUAAAACAUAUAAAACGACUUUUCUCAUAAAGAAAUAGCCAUUUGUUAACUACCGCAGUUUAUGAUUAUGUUUAACAAAAACUAAACAUAAUUAUGUCCAGUCUGUUACAAGGUCUAUAUAUACGAUAAAAAAGAUAAAAACAAAAAUUGCUUCACUUUAGUAAGAAAUGCCUCUACAUAGCAUAAAUGAACAGUGUUUAUUCAUUAUAAGGCCAUUUCAAUUGAUAUUUUAUAGUGUGUCUUUCUAUGAUGUAAAGUUACACAAUUGUUUCAGGUAAGGUUGAAGAUUGGUAUCUUUUAAAAGGUUUAAACUUGAUGCAUUUGUUUCCACCUGUCUUAUUAAGUCAGGAACCUGAUGUUCAGUUGAUGUCGUCACAUUGUUGAUGUGGUUCAUAAAUGUUUCUCAAUUUUUAUAUAGAUUAGACCGUUGGUUUUCCCGUUUGAAUUGUUUUACGCUAGUCGUUUUUUUUUUUGGGGGCCUUUAUAUAGCUUGCUGUUUGGUGUGAGCCAAAUUGAAUGCUCCGUGUUGAAGACCGUACUUUGACCUAUAAUGGUUUACUUUUACAAAUUAUGGCUUGGAUUGAGAGUUGUCUCAUUGACACUCACACCACACCUUCUAUAUCAGUGAAUUUAAAAUAUGUUCUAAAAUGCAGCAGCUUGUUCCAUUCUUUAGUGUUUCGUCUAACUGUAAAGUUUGAUUUCCGUUUUGAUGUUGUACCGUCUUGAUGUAAACACUUUAGAAAAUCUUGCUCUGUCACUUUCACCAUGAACUGUCAAAAUAUGCUUAAUUGUUCGCAUGUAUUUUGUAUUGUACUCAUAUUAUAAGUAAAGGUGAUAGUCUCUCCAUUCUAAACAAACCAUAUGAAAUUCUAAACAAAUAAUAUGAAAUUCUAUGAAAUUCUAAACAAUAAUAUAAAAUUCUAAGCAAAUCAUAUAUGAAACUAAUAGGAGUGGAUACACCAAUUAUUGGGUGCCUCUUUUAACACGCAACAGUUAAAACAAUAGUCAAAAUUUAUGUUUUGUCUGUAUAUGUAAAAACCUACUUCUGCUUAUUUGUCUGUACAUGUAUAUACAAAAGAUAUAAGUGUGUGUAUUUCCGUUUUUAGCAAGUUACUACUCCACUAUCUAGAAGCAACAUUCGACUCAUAUGAUAAUAGACUAUGAAUGCAUUUUUUGUUUGUUUGCCAGAAGUCUGUGGUUCUGUUAUAGCACACUAGCUUCCUCCGCUUAUAAAAUGACUAUCAUAAUAUUGCCUAGCGAGCGUUUAAUUCAUAAAUAAGUUAAUCUCUUAUGUACAAUAUAUCUGUUGUAUAACCUCUUUAAAGUCGUACUUGCAUGUAUAUAUUAUAUCUGUGUACAUGCAUUAUUUAUGAAUGUUAUUACUUUUCAGCUUAAAUAUGAAAGUCGCCGUAAUCAUCGUCUGUCUGGUUAUUUUGAACAUGUGUGAAGACACAACAUGCGCUACUGACCAAUGUACCUUAGACUGCAUACUUGGUACCAGUACCUGUAUUGGUGGUUGUGCUGGACAAGACAUAUUUCAGAUGCUGUCUUGUCAUUCAAACUGCAAAACUCAAUGUAUACUAUGUACCACCAAGUGCCCUAACCGUGCAGGAACAGCUUGUCAGUUUUAACUUAUAAAUCAAAGAUUUUUGUUUUAAAAAUGUUACAAAAAGUAUUUCUAGUUCAUUAAAUUAUGUGCAUGUCAGUUUGAUAAAUAAUUAAUACAAUUGAGAUUAAAAUGGGAUAUGUGUCAUAGAGACAACACAGCGAGAAAACUUUGCACCCGAGACGUGCUUCGGUUGUCCCCAAAACAAAUGUGUACUUGUUCAGUGAUAAUGGAGGCCAUACUAAACUCCUAAACACAAAAAUGAAUUACAAUAAAAAAAAUCAUGCAAGAUUGACAAAGGUCAGAGACUCCCCACUUAAUUGUGAAUAUUUAUAGGAUAUCUUAUGAAUUAUAUGAUACCUUGUAGAGUUUUCUAGUAUAAGAUAUCGUAUAUAAUCUAAGCUUUUAUAAGAUAUCUUAUAAACUCCACAAGGUAUCAUAUAAUUCAUAAGAUAUCCCAUAAAUAUAUUUAUACAUAAGAUAUCUUAUAAACUUUAUAAGAUAUUUUAUAUAGACUAAGUUAAUAAGAUAUCUACAAAGACAUAUAAUAGUUUUAAUAUAAGAUAUCUCAUUUUGUUUAGAAGAAAUCGGAUUUAAUUCUAAGAUAUCUUAUUAAGAAAAUUGUAAUAUGAUAUCUUAUAAAAUA
rnacentral:lncRNA from 1 species